UGCCACGCUGCAUUCCUUAUAUCUUCCCUGGUUUGCAGGUCUUUGUAAGCUGGGAAAACAAGCACAAAGUGACUCCUUUCCCUUCUGCACAGGAAGAAAUCCCUUAAAAGAAUGCCAAGGAGGAAUUAGGAGGCUGGGAACAGCAGGAAGGAAAAAAAUCAGGAGUUCUCUGCCAGAAAGAAAAGCUCCCAGAGCAGCACAAACAGAAGGAGCUGGAGAAGACAGAAAAUACCUGGGCACAGGCUUGUGGGACAGCGAAAUCCCGAAAGGAAUAUGAAUUCUCCCUGGUGAAUCUGAGAAUUCCAAGGAUUUACAGGUGAAUUAUUCGGGAAUGAAAUGUGAGUGUGACAAUAAAUCCUUUCUCAAAGAGGUUUCUGGGCUUGUACAGGAAGGGAAUGAGACACUUUGCUAUUUAAAUCUGUUUUUUUUAUUUGCUCUGCCCAUUCUUUGCUCGCUUCUGAGUAACAAAAUCAGCAUUUUUUACCUUAUUUUGACGAAGUUUGCUCAUGACCUCAUUGAGAGCUGGGUAACCUCCUUCAUAUCUCCACAAAUGAACUGAAAGAGAGAAAAUUUCAGUGUUUUCAGGGAUGUCCCAGACCAGUGGUAAAUCUUAUGCAAAAAUCACACUAUAAAAUGCUCUUCACACUACAAAAUUACACAAAAAUAGAAACCAGGCAGCAGGUUUGAAAAUAGCUUUUCAUUAAUAAAAGCACUACACAUUGGAUUAUUUUAGGGAUAAUGGAAUCAUCUGCUUUUUGAAAGGGGUUCUCUUGGAAAAUUUUGCAAUUUACUCUGAGGGUAAUAGGGGAAUUUCUGAAAGGACUUUUUGUUGCCAUGCUAGUAAGAUGUGAUGACUUGUCAUGACUGUUAUUGAAAUUAAGAUUCAGCUGAAGAGGAUGACUUAGUUCCAAAAACGUGCUUUGUACCAAUUUCAUCUAAGAGCAGUAGAGGGGCAGAUUUUCAGUUCAGUAAAUUACUCCAGCACACAAGCAAGACACUUUCUGUAGGACAUGAAAAACGAUGCAAAUGUUAUUUCUGAGCUCAACAUGAAUAAAAGCAGAAGAAAACUGAA